CAGCCGUAAACGAUGCGCGUUAGGUGUAUCGGUGACCACGAGUUACCGAGGUGCCGAAGGGAAACCGUGAAACGUGCCGCCUGGGAAGUACGGUCGCAAGGCUGAAACUUAAAGGAAUUGGCGGGGGAGCACCACAACAGGUGGAGCCUGCGGUUUAAUUGGACUCAACGCCGGGAAGCUCACCGGAUAAGACAGCGGAAUGAUUGCCGGGCUGAAGACUCUGCAUGACUAGCUGAGAGGAGGUGCAUGGCGUAGACGUCU
rnacentral:rRNA from 1 species